AUGCAUGCAAAUCUAACAGUAGAUUCUGCAGAUGACUCCGGAGUGAAUCCGGAGGUCAUGAUAGGGAAUGAUCCGCAUGCCCAACGACAACUAAAGGCUGGUGAGCGCGUGCUUAAAAAGUUUAGGCAGGAGAAAAAUAAUCUCCAAGAUGCCAAUAUCCAGCUGGGCAUGGAACUGAAAGAUGUUCGGGCCCAGCUUGCUGACUCCGUAAAGGAGAAUAAGAGGCUUCGACGCGGCAUUUUCAGUAAGUGCUUGAACGAACUUUUAAAGAGUUCGGCGAAGAAACCGGCUAACAGAGUUACAUCUGCAGGUAUGCUGACGGGUCGUCCCGAGGAGGAGAUGCCCGGGUCUGCGGGUGAUCUUCUGCCAGAGCUCUCACAACUGCACGAACAAGUUCGGCAGGUGAUGCAGGGCAUUGCCCAAGCCUUGUGGCCAUCCGUCUCCCUGCCAGGAGGCAUGGGGGAGCUUGUAGAUAAGCUCAAGGGAGCGCGGCGGCGCUUCCGAUUAUGGAAGAUAUCAGCCUGCCGACAAGGUGCGAGGGAAGCCUGGGCCAUGGUGAAGACGCGGUAUACCAAGGCUGACCCUAACCACAUGGCCGAGGUCGGACCUGUGGGGCCUGAUGGGAAAGAGAUCCCCGUCAGUUUGGUGUAUAACCAAGUAGAAUUAGCCGCAAAGUAUUCCCAACAGGAUUGUAGGCUAGACAGCCUGUUGGAUGGUAUAGAAGAAGAAUUUAGUCAGUCUAAGUGA
rnacentral:rRNA from 1 species